rnacentral:rRNA from 1 species
GACGAACGCUGGCGGCGUGCUUAACACAUGCAAGUCGAACGGAAAGGCCCUGCUUUUGUGGGGUGCUCGAGUGGCGAACGGGUGAGUAACACGUGAGUAACCUGCCCUUGACUUUGGGAUAACUUCAGGAAACUGGGGCUAAUACCGGAUAGGAGCUCCUGCUGCAUGGUGGGGGUUGGAAAGUUUCGGCGGUUGGGGAUGGACUCGCGGCUUAUCAGCUUGUUGGUGGGGUAGUGGCUUACCAAGGCUUUGACGGGUAGCCGGCCUGAGAGGGUGACCGGGCACAAUGGGACUGCGAGACGGCCCAGACGCCAACGGGAGGCAGCAGUGGGGAAUAUUGCACAAUGGGCGGAAGCCUGAUGCAGCAACGCCGCGUGCGGGAUGACGGCCUUCGGGUUGUAAACCGCUUUCGCCUGUGACGAAGCGUGAGUGACGGUAAUGGGUAAAGAAGCACCGGCUAACUACGUG